rnacentral:SRP_RNA from 1 species
GCCAGGUGUGGUGGCGUAUGCCUGUAAUCCCAGCUACUUGGGAGGCUGAGGCAGGAGAAUCGCUUGAACCCGGGAGGCAGAGAUUGCAGUGAGCCAAGAUGGUGCCACUGCACUCCAGCCUGGGCGACAGAGGGAGACUCUGCCUCAA